rnacentral:rRNA from 1 species
GUACACAAAAAUGCACAUAUUGUGAGCUCGAUGAGUAGGGCGGGACACGUGGUAUCCUGUCUGAAUAUGGGGGGACCAUCCUCCAAGGCUAAAUACUCCUGACUGACCGAUAGUGAACCAGUACCGUGAGGGAAAGGCGAAAAGAACCCCGGCGAGGGGAGUGAAAAAGAACCUGAAACCGUGUACGUACAAGCAGUGGGAGCCUCUUUAUGGGGUGACUGCGUACCUUUUGUAUAAUGGGUCAGCGACUUAUAUUCUGUAGCAAGGUUAACCGAAUAGGGGAGCCGAAGGGAAACCGAGUCUUAACUGGGCGUUAAGUUGCAGGGUAUAGACCCGAAACCCGGUGAUCUAGCCAUGGGCAGGUUGAAGGUUGGGUAACACUAACUGGAGGACCGAACCGACUAAUGUUGAAAAAUUAGCGGAUGACUUGUGGCUGGGGGUGAAAGGCCAAUCAAACCGGGAGAUAGCUGGUUCUCCCCGAAAGCUAUUUAGGUAGCGCCUCGUGAAUUCAUCUCCGGGGGUAGAGCACUGUUUCGGCAAGGGGGUCAUCCCGACUUACCAACCCGAUGCAAACUGCGAAUACCGGAGAAUGUUAUCACGGGAGACACACGGCGGGUGCUAACGUCCGUCGUGAAGAGGGAAACAACCCAGACCGCCAGCUAAGGUCCCAAAGUCAUGGUUAAGUGGGAAACGAUGUGGGAAGGCCCAGACAGCCAGGAUGUUGGCUUAGAAGCAGCCAUCAUUUAAAGAAAGCGUAAUAGCUCACUGGUCGAGUCGGCCUGCGCGGAAGAU